CACAAACUGGGACUUGACAAGGUUUUCCUUAUAGGCAUUUUCCUCUGACAAGUGGAAACUGUAGGGACAGGAGAAACAGGAGUUGGACAAGAAAGGACCCAUUUUACUCGGACAUAUACAUGGAGAAAAGGUGCCGCUGACCAGCACGGCGUCACAUGGCAUGAUGGUCCCAUUGCUGGGGAUAAUCAUAACAUCACCAGGCACAAGAUCUGUAGACAUGAUCUCCUCGAUAUCUGCCAGGAAUAAAGGACAAUGGAGAAGAGGAAAAAGCCUGCAUUGUCCCAUACUGGCAGCCUUCUGGAGGACAGCCAAAGCAGGGUGACUUUGUUAUUGAGUCUGGGCCAACACAGGAGCAGAAACUGUCUACUGUCAGGUUUUGUAUAGAAAGCACUCUUUACAAUAGCAGGAAACCGUUCAUCGUAGUACUUGCUGUGUUUUACUGUUGAAGUGACUGAAACUCUAACCCUUAACCCUGAUUAAAGAAUCAAAAAUGAUAAAGAAAUC